AUGAUGAUGAUCGAGGUUGGUGAUUAUGGGGAAAUUCUCUCAGAUGACACAGUUCACGCCUUGCAAUUACUGGAGCCACCCGCUGCCCAGGAUGCUGAAUGCUGCUCGCUGUCCCAGCAUGCCGUCACCGGGGAUGAAGCCCCUUCCACCAUUCGCCUUCGUGCCAUGGUGGGAGACCAAGUUAUGCUGCUCUUGGUGGACUCCGGAAGCACACACAAUUUCGUCAGUGAGGCUUUUGUCAGUCGCUUGGGCACCGUAAUAGAAUCACUCCCGCCAGUCUCUGUGCAUGUCGCCAAUGGGCACCGGCUGCACUGCGAUCGCAUCGUGCGCAAGCUCUCUUGGCAGGUGCCGGGGCAUACCUUCCACACGGAUCUCCGCGUGCUUCAACUCAGUGCCUAUGAUGGGGUGUUGGGCAUGGAUUGGUUGGGCGCGCACAGUCCGAUGAAUUGCCACUGGCUAGAGAAGACGAUUGCAUUUGAAACAGAGGGCAAGCUUGUGCAUUUACAAGGGUCAAAACCAAAGACCCGCCUCCAAUCUCCGAGGUCGAUGCGUAUGAGCUUCAUCGUAUGGAAGUGGCUAAUGACAUCUGGACUGCGGCCUUUGGUAACUGUGGAACCGCAGAGCAAAGCACCACCAGCCCCUGUACCACCAAACAUUCAGCGAGUCUUACAGGAAUAUGCAGACGUGUUCUCUGAACCCAAGACUCUGCCACCGCGCCGUCAGUACGACCACAGGAUCAAUUUGGAACCAGGCGCACCACCAAUCAACACCCGCCCUUACCGUUACUCGCCCGCGCAGAAGGAUGAAAUCGAGAAGCAGGUGCGUGACAUGCUGGACGCUGGUGUCAUCGUGCACAGCAUGAGCCCCUACACUGCUCCUGUCCUGCUGGUGAAGAAGAAGGACGGUAGUUGGAGGUUCUGCAUCGGUUUUCGUCGCCUCAACCAAGUUACUGUCAAGAACAAAUUUCCUCUUCCCGUCGUGGACGAACUUCUCGAUGAGCUGGCCGGCGCCGCCUACUUCUCCAAGAUUGACUUGCACGCCGGCUACCACCAAAUAUGCAUGCGCGCCGAGGACGAAGAGAAGACGGUUUUUAAGACCCACCAUGGUCACUUCCACUUCAAAGUGAUGCCAUUCGGCCUCUGCAAUGCGCCGGCAACAUUCCAGUGCCUUAUGAACUCCAUCUUUGCCAGCUACAACUGUAAGUUUGUGAUCAUCUUCCUUGAUGACAUCCUAGUUUUCAGCAUUGACUUGCAGGAGCACGAGGAACACCUACGGCUGGUGCUCGACACGCUACGGCAGCACGAGCUCUACGCCAAGGAGUCCAAGUGCACGUUCGCGCAACCCAGCAUCGAGUACCUCGGCCACAUCAUCUCCAAGGAGGGUGUCGCUACCGAUGCAAGCAAGACCAGCGUGAUGCAAGCGUGGCCCGUGCCCACCAACGCCACGGGGCUGCGUGGGUUUCUCAGCCUCACCGGCUACUACUGGAAGUUCAUCGCCAACUACGGGGUGCUCGCCAAGCCACUCACCUAG
rnacentral:rRNA from 1 species